GGCCUGGUACAGAAGAGCUUGUACAUUCAGGCUAAGUAUCAGCGUUUACGGUUCACUGGCCCAAGGGGAUUUAUCACUCAUAAGUUCAGAGAAAGAUUAAUGAGAAAAAAGAAGUUUUAAUAGUGUAAGAUCCUAGUGAAAGGAAUAUACAGAUGUUGCCACAGGAAUCUAAUCUGAAAUCGUACAAAUGGAAAUGACACUACAGGAGGAUGUUUGGGAGCAUCUCUCUCUUUUUGUCAGGAGUUAGAAGUGACACUAAGGCACUAAUACUGUAACUUCUUGAUAAAAUAACCUUAUUUUUUAGUAGUGGAAUGCUGCAACUUUUUACACCUAACAAUUGCUUUUAAAUUACAGUAUUCAAUUUAAAAGUUGUAUUAACUACAGUUUCCUUUGCAAAAAGUCUCAAAAGAAUCACUUGAAGGGCAUUAUUUGUUGAUGCAUUUUUCUCUGAGCAUGGUUUCAUAGAGAGAACUUCACCAAGUAAUAUUCAGACGUUUAUAUGUUGAAAGUUUUGCUUACGUAAUAAAAACAAAAACAAGUAUCUGAAUUGUAAAGUGUCUGUACAUGAAAGAACUUUAAACAGUGGCCUUAUGGUAGAAAAUUUUAUACCGGAUUUUUCUUUUUCUGAUGACAUUUUGGCUUAUAACUCGAAGUUUUCUUAAGUUUCUGAAGAUCAAGGCCUAUAUAAUUCAUACAUUUCAUAUUAUAAGAAGGCAAGAGACAAGGUGCUUCAAAU
rnacentral:sRNA from 1 species